UUUCCAUGGGGGAACCUGCAAGGAGCGACGCCGCGUGGAGGAUGAAGGUCUUCGGAUUGUAAACUCCUGUCAUGAGGGAGUAAGGCACAGCGUUAACUGCGUAUGUGUUUGAUAGUACCUCAAGAGGAAGAGACGGCUAACUCUGUGCCAGCAGCCGCGGUAAUACAGAGGUCUCAAGCGUUGUUCGGAUUCAUUGGGCGUAAAGGGUGCGUAGGUGGCGAGGUAAGUCAGAUGUGAAAUCCCCGGGCUCAACCCGGGAACUGCAUUUGAUACUGCCGCGCUCGAGUGCUGGAGGGGAGACUGGAAUUCACGGUGUAGCAGUGAAAUGCGUAGAUAUCGUGAGGAAGACCGGUGGCGAAGGCGAGUCUCUGGACAGCAACUGACACUGAGGCACGAAGGCUAGGGGAGCAAACGGGAUUAGAUACCCCGGUAGUCCUAGCAGUAAACGGUGCGCGUUUGGUAUGGGGGGAUCGACCCCUUCCGUGCCGGAGCUAACGCGUUAAACGCGCCGCCUGGGGAGUACGGUCGCAAGAUUAAAACUCAAAGAAAUUGACGGGGGCCCGCACAAGCGGUGGAGUAUGUGGCUUAAUUCGAUGCAACGCGAAGAACCUUACCUGGGCUUGACAUGCAUCUCUAAGUUGGUGAAA
rnacentral:rRNA from 1 species